AAAUGCUUAUUUGAAAAGAGGGUGCUAGUCUGGAUCGAUGAUGAGAAAACUGUCUGAGGAUGCUGAGAGACAAAACAAGCACUGCAGAUGUCAAUCUGAGGUCCAGAUGAGUGAGUGACCUUUCUAUGGAAAAACCUAGACUCAGAGCCUGGCUCUAUUUGCUGACCCAUAAGAGACCAUAGAAUGCUGCCUUUUAGAGCAAGGCGUGAGCAUCCUUUUGUAUGAAACAAUUUGCUCCUUUAGAUAGGCUGAGUAAUCCAAGCCUUGCUUCAUUUCCCCCCAUUGAGUAGAUUAGUAUAGAUAGAUUCCUCUGUCUAAGCCAUCUGUUCUUGAAUAAUGAGUGGGAAGUCAUAGUGGUUCAAAGAAGGGAAUGCAUGCCAAUAUUAAGUAUAGACAGUGAUACCAAUUUAUGGUUUUGUUAUCUUUGAUGUUCAAUGUUUUCUGAGACUAUGUUUUGCUUUUCUUUAGGUCUUCUACUUGAAAGAUCUGGGUUCUCAUAUUCCAGACAAGAAGAUAAUUCUUUGAUACAAAGUAGCUGUGUUGUGGUCAUGGUGAAGUUGAAGUGAAAGACUGACCAGUUGAAAUACUUGAAGACAUAUCUCUCUUUUGAGAACCAGAACUCAGCAGAAGCAUUGGAAGAAGUAUGCCCCAAGUUGUCCACACAGCUCAUACUGGGGAGAGCUCGAACACAGUCCCCUACUACCACAAAUUAUGCAGUCAAGUUUCCCACAUUUGGGGAAAUAACAGAGAUCAGUACAUCCGGAGUGCAAUGGAUAAGCCUUGCCCUGGGAAAAGAACCCUUGUAAUCAUGAUAUCUCCCCUGCCAGAGCAGUGCUCAGCUGUGACUUAUGGUGGUAUAGGGGAUUGAACUUGUGACUUUGGAGCCUCAGGUAUGAAAGUAUUUUUGCAUAACCAUUAUGCUAUCUGCCCUGCCCAGUAUUUUUUUAAAUUUUCAUAUCUUUAAUGAUAUGUGAAGUGGACCAUUUAUACAUAUGAAUAUGAGCCAUGCAUGUCUCUUCUUUAGAAAACAGCCUAUUCAGAUAUCUUUAAAUCAUUUUCUUAGUGGAGUUAAAUUGUUUAUAGUACAGUUGUUGAAAGCACUUAGCACAGUUGACAGUACAUGUUAUAGUUGUUGCCUACUCAGAUGUCAAAAGCAUAUUUUUAAAUUGUUUGAGUUUGUGAAUUUAGAGAAACUGUGUCUCUAGUAAGUGCAGUUCUUGAACAAGAACUCUUCUAGUCAUUACAUGGCUAUUGGCAUCCCCUAGAAGGUCAGGAAGAAGUAAAUUAUAAAUGGUUCUUAUGCUGUCUGUCCUCAGUAGUGACUAGAAAGAUUGUGUCAUUCCCUUGUCAAUUGCCAAGAGUGGUGAGAGAAUAUCUAGUUUUUUUUUUUGUUGUUGUUGUUUGUUUUGUUUUUGUUUUUCUUACAUAAUACUGUGUCCUUGAAUUCAAGCUCUUGCCCCAGGAAUCACAGGGCUUGACUUUAUAAAGCAUUGUUUUAGUUGUUGAGACACAGAUAUAAACAUAAAGCUGCUGUAUACAUGAUCUUAGCAAAUAUCAGACAAACUUAUACUCAUUGUUUAAUUAAAGGCAUUUGCAAAUACUGUGCAGAAAAAUGUUAUCAAGGAAGACUUUCAAUGC